ACACCCACCAACGCCCGGGUACUACGAGCCCCAGCUUAAAACCCAAAGGACUUGACGGUGUCCCACCCACCUAGAGGAGCCUGUUCUAUAAUCGAUGAUCCCCGCUAAACCCAACCUCCCCUUGCAAUCAGCCUGUAUACCUCCGUCGUAAGCUUACCAUAUGAAUGUCUUCAGUAAGUUUAAUGGCUAUAAAACACCAAUACGUCAGGUCAAGGUGCAGCUCAUGGGGUGGUAAGCAAUGGGCUACAAUUUCUAAUCUAGAACAAACGAAACACUGUAUGAAACUCAGUUAUGAAGGCGGAUUUAGUAGUAAAAAGAAAGUAGCGUGUUCUUUUUAACUAGGCCCUGGGACGUGUACACACCGCCCGUCGCCC
rnacentral:rRNA from 1 species